rnacentral:rRNA from 1 species
CCCUUAGAUGUCCUGGGCCGCACGCGCGCUACACUGAUGCAUUCAACGAGUUUCACCUUGGCCGGGAGGCCUGGGCAAUCUUUUAAACCUGCAUCGUGAUAGGGAUAGAUUAUUGCAAUUAUUAAUCUUGAACGAGGAAUUCCUAGUAAACGCAAAUCAUCAAUUUGCAUUGAUUACGUCCCUGCCCUUUGUACACACCGCCCGUCGCACCUACCGAUUGAAUGGUCCGGUGAAGCCUCGGGAUUGUGGCCAGUUCACUUUAUUGGGAGUUGGCUGUGAGAACUUGUCUAAACCUUACCAUUUAGAGGAAGGUGAAGUCGUAACA